rnacentral:rRNA from 1 species
CUAACACAUGCAAGUCGAGGGGUAACGUAAGUGCUUGCACUUGACGACGACCGGCGCACGGGUGCGGAACGCGUAUGGAACCUACCUUUAUCAGGGGGAUAGCCCAUGGAAACGUGGAUUAAUACCCCAUAGUAUUAAAUCAUUGCAUGAUGAUUUAAUUAAAGAAUUUCGGAUAGAGAUGGCCAUGCGUAUCAUUAGCUAGUAGGCGAGGUAACGGCUCACCUAGGCGACGAUGAUUAGGGGUCCUGAGAGGGAGAUCCCCCACACUGGUACUGAGACACGGACCAGACUCCUACGGGAGGCAGCAGUGAGGAAUAUUGGGCAAUGGAGGCAACUCUGACCCAGCCAUGCCGCGUGCAGGAAGACGGCCCUAUGGGUUGUAAACUGCUUUUAUACAGGAAGAACACCACCCACGUGUGGGUGACUGACGGUACUGUAAGAAUAAGGACCGGCUAACUCCGUGCCAGCAGCCGCGGUAAUACGGAGGGUCCAAGCGUUAUCCGGAAUCAUUGGGUUUAAAGGGUCCGUAGGCGGGCUAAUAAGUCAGAGGUGAAAGUUUGCAGCUCAACUGUAAAAUUGCCUUUGAUACUGUUAGUCUUGAGCUAUAGUGAAGUGGUUAGAAUAAGUGGUGUAGCGGUGAAAUGCAUAGAUAUCACUUAGAAUACCGAUUGCGAAGGCAGAUCACUAACUGUAUACUGACGCUGAGGGACGAAAGCAUGGGUAGCGAACGGGAUUAGAUACCCCGGUAGUCCAUGCUGUAAACGAUGGAUACUAGCUGUUGGCUUCGGUCAGUGGCUAAGCGAAAGUGAUAAGUAUCCCACCUGGGGAGUACGUUCGCAAGAAUGAAACUCAAAGGAAUUGACGGGGGCCCGCACAAGCGGUGGAGCAUGUGGUUUAAUUCGAUGAUACGCGAGGA